GGUGGGGGAUGACGUCAAAUCAACACGGCCCUUAUGUCCCAGGGCUACACACGUGUUACAAUGGCCGGUACAGAGGGCAGCUAUGCCGCGAGGCAAUGCGAAUCUCGAAAGCCGGUCUCAGUUCGGAUCGGAGUCUGCAACUCGACUCCGUGAAGCUGGAUUCGCUAGUAAUCGCGCAUCAGCCAUGGCGCGGUGAAUACGUUCCCGGGCCUUGUACACACCGCCCGUCAAGCCAUGGAAGUUGGGGGUACCUGAAGUCCGUAACCGCAAGGAGCGGCCUAGGGUAAAACCAGUGACUGGGGCU
rnacentral:rRNA from 1 species